AUUGAACGCUGGCGGCAUGCUUUACACAUGCAAGUCGAACGGCAGCGCGGGCUUCGGCCUGGCGGCGAGUGGCGAACGGGUGAGUAAUACAUCGGAACGUGCCCAGUAGUGGGGGAUAGCUCGGCGAAAGCCGGAUUAAUACCGCAUACGACCUGAGGGUGAAAGCGGGGGAUCUUCGGACCUCGCGCUGUUGGAGCGGCCGAUGGCAGAUUAGCUAGUUGGUGGGGUAAAGGCCUACCAAGGCGACGAUCUGUAGCUGGUCUGAGAGGACGACCAGCCACACUGGGACUGAGACACGGCCCAGACUCCUACGGGAGGCAGCAGUGGGGAAUUUUGGACAAUGGGCGAAAGCCUGAUCCAGCAAUGCCGCGUGUGUGAUGAAGGCCUUCGGGUUGUAAAGCACUUUUGGCGGGAACGAAAAGGACUGUGCCAAUACCACGGUUCGAUGACGGUACCCGCAGAAUAAGCACCGGCUAACUACGUG
rnacentral:rRNA from 1 species